rnacentral:rRNA from 1 species
GUCUAGUACCUGUGCAAAUCAAGAGUCUUUAUACCUCUAGGUGUAAUGAAAGUGACUGCUGGGAUCUUUGCACCAGCGACCAGCCUGUACAUGAUACAACUCUGAGUUUGAGCACAAUUACUAGGACCCGAAAGGUGGUGAACUAUGCCUGUGAAGAGCAAAGCCAGGGGAAACUCUGGUGGAGGCUCGUAGCGAUUCUGACGUGCAAAUCGAUCGUCAAAUUUGGGUAUAGGGGCGAAAG